AUAAUCUAUUUGGGGUGCCUUAAAUAAUAGGCUGAGAAUAAACCCUUUGAACCUGAUGCAGGUAAUGCUGCCGUAGGGAGAUAAGAAAAUCACAAU
rnacentral:ncRNA from 2 species